rnacentral:rRNA from 1 species
CAGCCGCCGCGGUAAAACGUAGGUGGCAAGCGUUGUCCGGAAUUAUUGGGCGUAAAGCGCGCGCAAGCGGAUCAGUCAGUCUGUCUUAAAAGUUCGGGGCUUAACCCCGUGAUGGGAUGGAAACUGCUGAUCUAGAGUAUCGGAGAGGAAAGUGGAAUUCCUAGUGUAGCGGUGAAAUGCGUAGAUAUUAGGAAGAACACCAGUGGCGAAGGCGACUUUCUGGACGAAAACUGACGCUGAGGCGCGAAAGCCAGGGGAGCGAACGGGAUUAGAUACCCCUGUAGUCCCUGUCUCUUAUACA